GCACGCAUAAUUAAUGAUAACAAAAUACAUACACAAUUGAUAUAAUUGCUUUUUAUUCAUUAGCCCUGUGCAUUACAACUAUAUAGCCACUAUACAUACUACUCUAUAACCUACAUACUUGCAAAUGAAUCGAGAUCAAGUAAACGCAAUGUCUGUACUACACAAUUCUAACCGUUAUAUAUCCAAGGUCCCCAGCUAAAUAUUCCCAACCCUUAAUUAAAAUACUUUAAUUAGUUAUUAGUGUCAAUUACGUCUGCUAAAGUGAUUUAUUGCAUGUAAUCAUAGAAGUUCGAGAAUCUAAAUUUUAAUCCCCCACAAUGGCCACAAAAUUGAGAAAAUAUUCGCGAUUCGCGGAUCAUUCUCCUCGUUAGAAAAAACGUGCAUGCAAGAUGUUUUUGUUAAAACGUGCAUUUAGAAAUACGAUUAUAUCCCUAACGUCGUAAAAUCGCAACAUGAGCUCCACCUUUGAAUUUACUAUAUGAGUAAAUUCUUAAACACGUCCGAAUUUAUCAUUAUGAUAAAUUCGCGGCACAUUUUGAAUUUAUCAAUAGAGUAUAAAUGUAAUGGCACUAAAAGGGAGGCUGGUC